rnacentral:snRNA from 1 species
GUGCUCGCUUCAGCAGCACAUAUACUAAAAUUGGUACGAUACAGAGUAUAUUAGCAUGGCUCCUGCGCAAGGAUGAUAUGCAAAUUCAUGAAGCGUUUUAAAGAAAA